AUUGAACGCUGGCGGCAGGCCUAACACAUGCAAGUCGAGCGGAUGAAGAGAGCUUGCUCUCUGAUUCAGCGGCGGACGGGUGAAUAAUGCCUAGGAAUCUGCCUGGUAGUGGGGGACAACGUUUCGUAAGGAACGCUAAUACCGCAUACGUCCUACGGGAGAAAGUGGGGGAUCUUCGGACCUCACGCUCUCAGAUGAGCCUAGGUACGAUUAGCUAGUUGGUGAGGUAAAGGCUCACCAAGGCGACGAUCGUUAACUGGUCUGAGAGGAUGAUCAGUCACACUGGAACUGAGACACGGUCCAGACUCCUACGGGAGGCAGCAGUGGGGAAUAUUGGACAAUGGGCGAAAGCCUGAUCCAGCCAUGCCGCGUGUGUGAAGAAGGUCUUCGGAUUGUAAAGCACUUUAAGUUGGGAGGAAGGGCAGUAAGUUAAUACCUUGCCGUUUUGACGUUACCGACAGAAUAAGCACCGGCUAACUUCGUGCCAGCAGCCGCAGUAACAC
rnacentral:rRNA from 1 species